rnacentral:rRNA from 1 species
AUACGGAGGGUGCAAGCGUUACUCGGAAUCACUGGGCGUAAAGCGCGCGCAGGCGGCUAUUUAAGUUGGAUGUGAAAGCCUACGGCUCAACCGUAGAACUGCAUCCAAAACUAUUUAGCUAGAGUGUGGGAGAGGAAGAUGGAAUUAGUUGUGUAGGGGUAAAAUCCGUAGAGAUAACUAGGAAUACCAAAAGCGAAGGCAAUCUUCUGGAACACUACUGACGCUGAGGCGCGAAAGCGUGGGGAGCAAACAGGAUUAGAAACCCUAGUAGUCC